CCUACGGGGGGCUGCAGUGGGGAAUAUUGGACAAUGGGGGCAACCCUGAUCCAGCCAUGCCGCGUGUGUGAAGAAGGCCCUGGGGUUGUAAAGCACUUUCAGUGAGGAAGAACGCCUGGUGGUUAAUACCCAUCAGGAAAGACAUCACUCACAGAAGAAGCACCGGCUAACUCCGUGCCAGCAGCCGCGGUAAUACGGAGGGUGCGAGCGUUAAUCGGAAUUACUGGGCGUAAAGCGCGCGUAGGUGGCUUGAUAAGCCGGUUGUGAAAGCCCCGGGCUCAACCUGGGAACGGCAUCCGGAACUGUCAAGCUAGAGUGCAGGAGAGGAAGGUAGAAUUCCCGGUGUAGCGGUGAAAUGCGUAGAGAUCGGGAGGAAUACCAGUGGCGAAGGCGGCCUUCUGGACUGACACUGACACUGAGGUGCGAAAGCGUGGGUAGCAAACAGGAUUAGAUACCCGUGUAGUC
rnacentral:rRNA from 1 species